AAAUUGAAGAGUUUGAUCAUGGCUCAGAUUGAACGCUGGCGGCAGGCCUAACACAUGCAAGUCGAGCGGUAGCACAGAGAGCUUGCUCUCGGGUGACGAGCGGCGGACGGGUGAGUAAUGUCUGGGAAACUGCCUGAUGGAGGGGGAUAACUACUGGAAACGGUAGCUAAUACCGCAUAAUGUCGCAAGACCAAAGUGGGGGACCUUCGGGCCUCAUGCCAUCAGAUGUGCCCAGAUGGGAUUAGCUAGUAGGUGGGGUAACGGCUCACCUAGGCGACGAUCCCUAGCUGGUCUGAGAGGAUGACCAGCCACACUGGAACUGAGACACGGUCCAGACUCCUACGGGAGGCAGCAGUGGGGAAUAUUGCACAAUGGGCGCAAGCCUGAUGCAGCCAUGCCGCGUGUAUGAAGAAGGCCUUCGGGUUGUAAAGUACUUUCAGCGGGGAGGAAGGGAGUAAAGUUAAUACCUUUGCUCAUUGACGUUACCCGCAGAAGAAGCACCGGCUAACUCCGUGCCAGCAGCCGCGGUAAUACGGAGGGUGCAAGCGUUAAUCGGAAUUACUGGGCGUAAAGCGCACGCAGGCGGUUUGUUAAGUCAGAUGUGAAAUCCCCGGGCUCAACCUGGGAACUGCAUCUGAUACUGGCAAGCUUGAGUCUCGUAGAGGGGGGUAGAAUUCCAGGUGUAGCGGUGAAAUGCGUAGAGAUCUGGAGGAAUACCGGUGGCGAAGGCGGCCCCCUGGACGAAGACUGACGCUCAGGUGCGAAAGCGUGGGGAGCAAACAGGAUUAGAUACCCUGGUAGUCCACGCCGUAAACGAUGUCGACUUGGAGGUUGUGCCCUUGAGGCGUGGCUUCCGGAGCUAACGCGUUAAGUCGACCGCCUGGGGAGUACGGCCGCAAGGUUAAAACUCAAAUGAAUUGACGGGGGCCCGCACAAGCGGUGGAGCAUGUGGUUUAAUUCGAUGCAACGCGAAGAACCUUACCUGGUCUUGACAUCCACAGAACUUUCCAGAGAUGGAUUGGUGCCUUCGGGAACUGUGAGACAGGUGCUGCAUGGCUGUCGUCAGCUCGUGUUGUGAAAUGUUGGGUUAAGUCCCGCAACGAGCGCAACCCUUAUCCUUUGUUGCCAGCGGUCCGGCCGGGAACUCAAAGGAGACUGCCAGUGAUAAACUGGAGGAAGGUGGGGAUGACGUCAAGUCAUCAUGGCCCUUACGACCAGGGCUACACACGUGCUACAAUGGCGCAUACAAAGAGAAGCGACCUCGCGAGAGCAAGCGGACCUCAUAAAGUGCGUCGUAGUCCGGAUUGGAGUCUGCAACUCGACUCCAUGAAGUCGGAAUCGCUAGUAAUCGUGGAUCAGAAUGCCACGGUGAAUACGUUCCCGGGCCUUGUACACACCGCCCGUCACACCAUGGGAGUGGGUUGCAAAAGAAGUAGGUAGCUUAACCUUCGGGAGGGCGCUUACCACUUUGUGAUUCAUGACUGGGGUGAAGUCGUAACAAGGUAACCGUAGGGGAACCUGCGGUUGGAUCACCUCCUUACCUUAAAGAAGC
rnacentral:rRNA from 1 species